rnacentral:rRNA from 1 species
AACGAACGCUGGCGGCAGGCCUAACACAUGCAAGUCGAACGUGAAGCCACCUUCGGGUGGUGGAAAGUGGCAGACGGGUGAGUAACGCGUGGGAACGUGCCUUUCGGUUCGGAAUAACCCAGGGAAACUUGGGCUAAUACCGGAUACGCCCUUCGGGGGAAAGAUUCAUCGCCGAAAGAUCGGCCCGCGUCGGAUUAGCUAGUUGGUAGGGUAAUGGCCUACCAAGGCAACGAUCCGUAGCUGGUCUGAGAGGAUGACCAGCCACACUGGGACUGGGACACGGCCCAGACUCCUACGGGAGGCAGCAGUGGGGAAUAUUGGACAAUGGGCGAAAGCCUGAUCCAGCCAUGCCGCGUGGGUGAAGAAGGCCUUAGGGUUGUAAACCCCUUUCAGCGGGGAAGAUAAUGACGGUACCCGCAGAAGAAGCCCCGGCUAACUCCGUGCCAGCAGCCGCAGUAACAC